rnacentral:rRNA from 1 species
UACGAAGGGAGCUAGCGUUGUUCGGAAUCACUGGGCGUAAAGCGCACGUAGGCGGAUGUGCCAGUCAGGGGUGAAAUCCCGGAGCUCAACUUCGGGACUGCCCUUGAUACAGCACGUCUUGAGUCCGAGAGAGGUGGAUGGAAUUCCUAGUGUAGAGGUGAAAUUCGUAGAUAUUAGGAAGAACACCGGUGGCGAAGGCGGUCCACUGGCUCGGUACUGACGCUGAGGUGCGAAAGCGUGGGGAGCAAACAGG